rnacentral:rRNA from 1 species
UACGAAGGGGGCUAGCGUUGCUCGGAAUCACUGGGCGUAAAGCGCACGUAGGCGGCUUUCUAAGUCAGGGGUGAAAUCCUGGAGCUCAACUCCAGAACUGCCUUUGAUACUGGGAAGCUUGAGUCCGGAAGAGGUGAGUGGAACUGCGAGUGUAGAGGUGAAAUUCGUAGAUAUUCGGAAGAACACCAGUGGCGAAGGCGGCUCACUGGUCCGGUACUGACGCUGAGGUGCGAAAGCGUGGGGAGCAAACAGG